AAGGACUUUGGAUUUGAAGAGAAAGAGCGGAGGGGGUGGUUAUUCGUUGGAGGCCCUGGGUAGCCGGCUAGGCCUGGGGAAUGCUCCUCUUGGCCAAACCUUGCUUUUGAGGAAGCAGCUGCACAGGGCACGACCCUUAGUGCUUUUCCAAGGUGCAGCCUAGAAAACUGUUGUGAAGAGCCUCAUUUGGUGCAGAAAGGACCAGUGCCGGACAGAGCUGUCAGCAAAUCCUGCUCGAGAAUUGCGGCCCGUGUCUGUGUAAUCGGACAACAUAAUUGUGUCGCUAAGUGGCAGGAGCAAUUAAGUGUACAGCAUUAUGAAGAAAUAAAGAUCCAAGCCCAAGAUUUAACUCGAUUUCUAAUUCCACGGAGUCCCCUCUGUGAGGCUGGACCUAGAAAGGAACAGGGUGGUGCACGGCCCUAGGAAAUCUGGCCACAGAAUGAAACCACGCCCCAAUCUGGGCUCGGUUUGGGGGUGCAGGAGCCUUGAUGGUGACUGGCAAGGAAUGAUACGUGAAAGGGAUCAGAGAGAAACACAACGACACCCUUGCAGGAGUGUGGACAAUAAAUGGUGGUGUAACAAGCAGACAGGAGCUGUCCCUACCGAAGGCUUUCCUAGGACAUGA
rnacentral:lncRNA from 1 species